rnacentral:rRNA from 1 species
GAUGAACGCUGGCGGCGUGCCUAAUACAUGCAAGUCGAGCGAACGGACGAGAAGCUUGCUUCUCUGAUGUUAGCGGCGGACGGGUGAGUAACACGUGGAUAACCUACCUAUAAGACUGGGAUAACUUCGGGAAACCGGAGCUAAUACCGGAUAAUAUUUUGAACCGCAUGGUUCAAAAGUGAAAGACGGUCUUGCUGUCACUUAUAGAUGGAUCCGCGCUGCAUUAGCUAGUUGGUAAGGUAACGGCUUACCAAGGCAACGAUGCAUAGCCGACCUGAGAGGGUGAUCGGCCACACUGGAACUGAGACACGGUCCAGACUCCUACGGGAGGCAGCAGUAGGGAAUCUUCCGCAAUGGGCGAAAGCCUGACGGAGCAACGCCGCGUGAGUGAUGAAGGUCUUCGGAUCGUAAAACUCUGUUAUUAGGGAAGAACAUAUGUGUAAGUAACUGUGCACAUCUUGACGGUACCUAAUCAGAAAGCCACGGCUAACUACGUGCCAGCAGCCGCGGUAAUACGUAGGUGGCAAGCGUUAUCCGGAAUUAUUGGGCGUAAAGCGCGCGUAGGCGGUUUUUUAAGUCUGAUGUGAAAGCCCACGGCUCAACCGUGGAGGGUCAUUGGGAACUGGAAAACUUGAGUGCAGAAGAGGAAAGUGGAAUUCCAUGUGUAGCGGUGAAAUGCGCAGAGAUAUGGAGGAACACCAGUGGCGAAGGCGACUUUCUGGUCUGUAACUGACGCUGAUGUGCGAAAGCGUGGGGAUCAAACAGGAUUAGAUACCCUGGUAGUCCACGCCGUAAACGAUGAGUGCUAAGUGUUAGGGGGUUUCCGCCCCUUAGUGCUGCAGCUAACGCAUUAAGCACUCCGCCUGGGGAGUACGACCGCAAGGUUGAAACUCAAAGGAAUUGACGGGGACCCGCACAAGCGGUGGAGCAUGUGGUUUAAUCCGAAGCAACGCGAAGAACCUUACCAAAUCUUGACAUCCUUUGACAACUCUAGAGAUAGAGCUUUCCCCUUCGGGGGACAAAGUGACAGGUGGUGCAUGGUUGUCGUCAGCUCGUGUCGUGAGAUGUUGGGUUAAGUCCCGCAACGAGCGCAACCCUUAAGCUUAGUUGCCAUCAUUAAGUUGGGCACUCUAAGUUGACUGCCGGUGACAAACCGGAGGAAGGUGGGGAUGACGUCAAAUCAUCAUGCCCCUUAUGAUUUGGGCUACACACGUGCUACAAUGGACAAUACAAAGGGCAGCGAAACCGUGAGGUCAAGCAAAUCCCAUAAAGUUGUUCUCAGUUCGGAUUGUAGUCUGCAACUCGACUACAUGAAGCUGGAAUCGCUAGUAAUCGUAGAUCAGCAUGCUACGGUGAAUACGUUCCCGGGUCU